CGGCAACAGCUCAAAUUUGAAAUCUGGCCCCCCCGCGGGUCCGAGUUGUAAUUUGCAGAGGAUGCUUCUGGCGCGGCGCCUUCCGAGUUCCCUGGAACGGGACGCCACAGAGGGUGAGAGCCCCGUACGGUCGGACCGCCUAGCCUGUGUGAAGCUCCUUCGAC
rnacentral:rRNA from 1 species